rnacentral:rRNA from 1 species
GACGAACGCUGGCGGCGUGCCUAAUACAUGCAAGUCGAGCGGGGAUUAUGCUUGAUCGCUUCGGUGAGACGGCAUAUAUCCUAGCGGCGGACGGGUGAGUAACGCGUGGGUAAUCUACCUCGUAGUUCGGGAUAACAGGCCGAAAGGCUUGCUAAUACCGGAUGAGUUCAUGCUUAUGCAUAUAGGCAUGAAGAAAGGGCUAGCCCGCUAUGAGAUGAGCCCGCGUCCCAUUAGCUUGUUGGUGGGGUAAUGGCCUACCAAGGCAACGAUGGGUAGCCGGCCUGAGAGGGUGUACGGCCACACUGGGACUGAGACACGGCCCAGACUCCUACGGGGGGCAGCAGUAGGGAAUUUUCGGCAAUGGGCGAAAGCCUGACCGAGCGACGCCGCGUGAGGGACGAAGGCCUUCGGGUUGUAAACCUCUGUCUGGGGGAUGAGAACGGACGGUACCCCCGGAGGAAGCCCCGGCUAACUACGUGCCAGCAGCGCGGUAAUGAGUAGUACA